UAUAGAGGUCCCAAGCGUUGUUCGGAUUCACUGGGCGUAAAGGGUGCGUAGGCGGUCGGGUAAGUCUGAUGUGAAAUCUCACAGCUUAACUGUGAAACUGCAUUGGAUACUAUCCGGCUAGAGGAAUGGAGGGGAGACUGGAAUACUUGGUGUAGCAGUGAAAUGCGUAGAUAUCAAGUGGAACACCAGUGGCGAAGGCGAGUCUCUGGACAUUUCCUGACGCUGAGGCACGAAAGCCAGGGGAGCAAACGGG
rnacentral:rRNA from 1 species